GUACCUACCUGGCAGGGGAGAUUUCAUGAUCAGGAAGGUGGUUUCCCCAGGCCAAGUCUCAUAUAUUGCAAUCCAGUUGUGCUGACUCCAGUGAUUCCUCCAAAUGUAGGAAACUAGACUGCAUAAUUUGUGGUACAAGGGGUACUACAUUUAUGCUGUUUCCUG